rnacentral:rRNA from 1 species
UACGGAGGGGGCUAGCGUUGUUCGGAAUUACUGGGCGUAAAGCGCACGUAGGCGGACUGGAAAGUUGGGGGUGAAAUCCCGGGGCUCAACCCCGGAACUGCCUUCAAAACUAUCAGUCUGGAGUUCGAGAGAGGUGAGUGGAAUUCCGAGUGUAGAGGUUAAAUUCGUAGAUAUUCGGAGGAACACCAGUGGCGAAGGCGGCUCACUGGCUCGAUACUGACGCUGAGGUGCGAAAGCGUGGGGAGCAAACAGG